AGGUUUCCGUAGGUGAACCUGCGGAAGGAUCAUUGUCUGUGACCCUUAAACAAAAUAGACCGUGAACGUGUCAUCCAUGCCGCAUGGUCUUCUGCCUGCCCAAGGCCCCUGAUCACCUCUUCUUCUGGAGUGAGAGGGGCCUCAAAAGAACCCACGGCGCCGAAGGCGUCAAGGAACACUGAUAUUGCCUUGCGAGGGGUUGCGGUCGGCUUGCUGGCCGCCCCUCGUUCAGCGAUGCUAUGUUAA
rnacentral:misc_RNA from 1 species